AAUGUGCAUAUUCCCACCAGACCGCAGUCUGCCACCUACUGGCAGCCGGUUCUUUCCAGCAGAGCUUAGUUUGGAGGGGGAAGAUUUAAAGUGAUGCACAGGCACUCCUACGGCUGUAACGAAAACAGGGUACAUUGUCCCACUUAACUGAAUCUAAAUUGACAAUAAAUCCAAAUAAAUUUGCUUUUUGCACUUAAAGAAUGAAGUUAUUUAUUAUUUUUUAUUUACUUUUCUUACUGCCGUGGAAGCAGAGUGAAUGGGGGACCAUUAACUGACGGACCAGACAGCUGCUUUACUAUCUGGCGCCAGUAUGUGAUUCAUACUCGACUUGCAGUCCAUUCAACAUGAACACCGCUGAAAAAUUAUUAAACAUAACACAAAGGGGAAAUAAGAAGAAGCUUGUACUUAUAAAAUGGCUUCAAAAACUGAAAUUACUCUCAAAAAAGAAGAGAUGCUCUCUGUGUGAAAGAAAAAUGAAAAUGAGAAAAGGUGGCAACACAAGAGAUGGAUAUCGCUGGGUGUGUCGAAGACAUAAUAGAUUCAUGUCCAAAUCCAUAAGAGAUGGGUCUAUUUUCUCAGGCUCUCGCUCCUCCUUGACUUCUUGGAUGAUGUUCAUGCAUAGGUUUGCACAAGGGCUAAGACUGAGGCAAGUGGACUUAAUUGAAGAGGGAGUCUGUGGAAGCAGCCGCACUUUGUCCAAGAUGUCCAAGACACUAAGGAGGGUGUGUGUGCAAGCAGUUAAGCACCUGAAGAGGAUGGGGAAAAUGAGAAUAGGUGGAAGACAUGGUUUUGUUGUCAUUGAUGAGAGCAAGUUUUGUCACAAGAGAAAGGUAAAGAUAUGAAUUUAUUUAAGAUAUUAAUUGGUGAAUAAUGGUGAUAGGUACAUCUGUAUCUAUGAAAUUGUUGUUCAGACAACUGCAAAUAAAUCAUGCCUUAACACUGUCCUCUUUCC